AAUAACUUAGAAGAAUAAAGUUUUAGACCACUGUUUGGAUAAACAGCUUAAUUUGCAGCUUAUAGCAUAACCCCUUAUCAUGACAAGGGCUUAUGUAUAAGCUAUUUCUAUAACAAAGCUAUUUUCAUAAGCUAUCUUGGAGAACUUACAAAAAUAAGCUGAAAACAGCUUAUUACAUAACAUAAGCUGUUUUUAUAAGUUCUCGAAAACAGUCUCACAAAACUUAUCCCAGUAAAAAUCCCAAAUAAUCCAAUCCAAACAGACCCUAAGGGGUUGUUACUUGUUACUCUAGCAUACACCUCAAUUUCUAUCAGCUCUAAUAAUUUCCUAUCAAUAGUAUAGAAUGAAACCAUUACCAUAGCCAAGUUUUAAACUUUGAUUCAAUAAGUAUACAACAUUAACAUGAGAAAGUAGUAACACAGUAAAAAUCGAACUUUUUCAGUUGACAAACAACAACUGAUUGAAUCACUAACACGAGAAAACACACAAAAACCUAACCUAGGUGAGUUGAAAAAUUGAUUAAUCGCACAAUUAAUUGUUGCAUUAAUCAAAUUAAUAAAUUAAAUCAGAACAAUCACAAACCAAUUGCACAAAUCAAAUCAAAUACAUACAAUUGUAUAUAUUAUACUAAGUUAGGGUUUAUCGAAAAUCCCAAAAAGGGGUAAAUCUGGAGAGAGAAGCAGCGAUAGAAGGUUGAUGAAGAAGAAGGAGAGAGUACAGAGAAGAGAGGGAGGAGAUACCUUUGAAUCGCAGUGUGAUUGAAUCGUAGCGAUGAAAGUGUUUGUGAUUUGUUUAGGUUACUGAAGAAUAAGAACAAUAGUACUGGAAAUUUU
rnacentral:lncRNA from 1 species